rnacentral:rRNA from 1 species
UACGUAGGGGGCAAGCGUUGUCCGGAAUUAUUGGGCGUAAAGUGUGCGCAGGCGGCCGAGCAAGUCGAGUGUGAAAGCCCCGAGCUUAACUUGGGAACUGCGCUCGAAACUACUUGGCUAGAGUGUGGCAGAGGGAGGUGGAAUUCCACGUGUAGCGGUGAAAUGCGUAGAGAUCCGGAGGAACACCAGAGGCGAAGGCGGCCUACUGGGCUAGUACUGACGCUGAGCCGCGAAAGCCAGGGGAGCGAACGGG